rnacentral:rRNA from 1 species
AUUGAACGCUGGCGGCAUGCCUUACACAUGCAAGUCGAACGGCAGCACGGGAGCAAUCCUGGUGGCGAGUGGCGAACGGGUGAGUAAAGUAUCGGAACGUGCCCAGUCGUGGGGGAUCACGUAGCGAAAGUUACGCUAAUACCGCCUACGAUCUAUGGAUGAAAGCGGGGGAUCGGAAGACCUCGCGCGAUUGGAUCGGCCGAUAUCGGAUUAGGUAGUUGGUGGGGUAAAGGCUCACCAAGCCGACGAUCUGUAGCUGGUCUGAGAGGACGACCAGCCACACUGGGACUGAGACACGGCCCAGACUCCUACGGGAGGCAGCAGUGGGGAAUUUUGGACAAUGGGCGAAAGCCUGAUCCAGCCAUGCCGCGUGCAGGAUGAAGGCCUUCGGGUUGUAAACUGCUUUUGUAUGGAACGAAAAGGUUUGGCCUAAUAAGCUGAGCUCAUGACGGUACCGUAAGAAUAAGCACCGGCUAACUACGUGCCAGCCGCCGCCGUAA